AUUGAACGCUGGCGGCAGGCCUAACACAUGCAAGUCGAACGAGUGGCGGACGGGUGAGUAAUGUCUGGGAAACUGCCUGAUGGAGGGGGAUAACUACUGGAAACGGUAGCUAAUACCGCAUACCAUCAGAUGUGCCCAGAUGGGAUUAGCUAGUUGGUGGGGUAAAGGCCUACCAAGGCGACGAUCCGUAACUGGUCUGAGAGGAUGACCAGGCAACCCUGAACUGAGACACGGUCCAGAAUCCUACGGGAGGCAGGAGUGGGGAAUAUUGGACAAUGGGCGAAAGCCUGAUCCAGCCAAGCCGCGGGUGUGAAGAAGGUCUUCGGGUUGUAAAGCAACUUAAGUUGGGAGGCGUUACCAACAGAAUAAGCAACGGCUAACUUCGGGCCAGCAGCCGCGGUAAUAC
rnacentral:rRNA from 1 species